rnacentral:rRNA from 1 species
GACGAACGCUGGCGGCGUGCUUAACACAUGCAAGUCGAACGAAGAGCGAUGGAAGCUUGCUUCUAUCAAUCUUAGUGGCGAACGGGUGAGUAACGCGUAAUCAACCUGCCCUUCAGAGGGGGACAACAGUUGGAAACGACUGCUAAUACCGCAUACGAUCUAAUCUCGGCAUCGAGGAUAGAUGAAAGGUGGCCUCUACAUGUAAGCUAUCACUGAAGGAGGGGAUUGCGUCUGUUUAGCUAGUUGGAGGGGAUACGGCCCACCAAGGCGAGGAUCAGUGGCCGGUCUGAGAGGAUGGACGGCCGCAUUGGGACUGGGACACGGCCCAGACUCCUACGGGAGGCAGCAGUGGGGAAUCUUCCGCAAUGGACGAAAGUCUGACGGAGCAACGCCGCGGGAGUGAUGACGGCCUUCGGGUUGUAAAGCUCUGUUAAUCGGGACGAAAGGCCUUCUUGCGAAUAGUGAGAAGGAUUGACGGUACCGGAAUAGAAAGCCACGGCUAACUACGUG